rnacentral:rRNA from 1 species
AUUGAACGCUGGCGGCAUGCCUUACACAUGCAAGUCGAACGGCAGCGCGGGGCAACCUGGCGGCGAGUGGCGAACGGGUGAGUAAUAUAUCGGAACAUACCCUAGAGUGGGGGAUAACGUAGCGAAAGUUACGCUAAUACCGCAUACGCACUAAGGUGGAAAGUGGGGGAUUCGCAAGAACCUCAUGCUCAUGGAGUGGCCGAUAUCUGAUUAGCUAGUUGGUGAGGUAAAGGCUCACCAAGGCAACGAUCAGUAGCUGGUUUGAGAGAACGACCAGCCACACUGGAACUGAGACACGGUCCAGACUCCUACGGGAGGCAGCAGUGGGGAAUUUUGGACAAUGGGGGGCAACCCUGAUCCAGCAAUGCCGCGUGAGUGAUGAAGGCCCUAGGGUUGUAAAACUCUUUGUGCGGGAAGAUAAUGACGGUACCGCAAGAAUAAGCCCGGCUAACUUCGUGCCAGCAGCCGCGGUAAU